CACGUAGGGCGCAAGCGUUGUCCGGAAUUAUUGGGCGUAAAGAGCUCGUAGGCGGUCUGUUGCGUCCGCUGUGAAAACUCGGGGCUCAACCCCGAACUUGCAGUGGGUACGGGCAGACUAGAGUGUGGUAGGGGAGACUGGAAUUCCUGGUGUAGCGGUGAAAUGCGCAGAUAUCAGGAGGAACACCGAUGGCGAAGGCAGGUCUCUGGGCCACUACUGACGCUGAGAAGCGAAAGCAUGGGGAGCGAACAGG
rnacentral:rRNA from 1 species